CUCCAGUGAAGAGAUUUCCACCAAUGGAAAUAACCAUCCUUCUUUGGCUUAGAAGAAAGAAAAUACCUCAUUCAACAUAAAUCAUCAUUGAGAAGAAUGAAAUCUUAUGACACCAUCCCAUAUAGAAAACAGAUAAAAGUGGUGCAGACAUCAUUGAACUGGGAUCAAGGGCAAGCCUCACCUGCUAAGCUUCCCCGUCCCUGGCCAAGGACCUCCUGGGGCAGUAAUAGAUAUACCCAGAGUUCAGACUCUGAGGCUGGCUGUC